rnacentral:lncRNA from 1 species
CCAGACAUUUUUCACUAGCCAUCCCCGAGUGUUUAUUACAACUUAUUACAAACCAGAAAUACUGAAUUACAUAAAAAAAUAGAAAAAAACAAAAAAAGUUACAACUAGAGAAAGCCUGAUUCUUGGUUCCUCAUUGAGUUGUGGAAUAAACUGCCUUAAGAUGCCACGUUUCAAAGCUUUUCUUAGACAUGGGUGUGUCAGAGUUCCCUAAGGGCCUCAAAGAACUUUAGGUAGUGCUUACACCCAGAUUCGUAGAACCAUAUAGAGAUGAGUGCAGUAUGGAAGUGCCAGCCCUUACGUGUCCAAGUUCCGAGGGAAGUCAUGGGGUCCCAAGGCAAUGCUCACACAAGAGGGGCAGAACUUAAGUCUAUGAAUGUGGUGGAAGUACAGGAACAAAUUUUUAAAACUGAAGGGAGAAAAGAUGGGGUAAAGUGUGAUAGGGAAGAAGUAAUUAGUAAAAGGCAGAGUUAAUAACUUCAUACAAAGGGAUCAGGGGUUAGGAAUCCACUGUAAUGAGUCCAUGUACUUAGGCAGGGAUCAGUUUGGGCAUGCACAAUAAUAGUAGGUGUUGGCAUGCCUAUAAACCAAUCAGAACACAAAACAAUUAGAGGAGACAUAGAGGUUAUGAUCCCAGGGGAAUCAGGUUUGGGUCAUGCAUAACAAUGUUCAAAGUUGUCAUGCCCCAAACCAACAACAGAUACCAAACACCUUCGGGAUGGGGAUUUAGGAUUCACAAUCCAUGAUAAUUAAUUUAUAGAAGCUUUAAUUCAGAACAGAAAAGGCAGACUACAACAUGCUAAAUAAUGGAAUUUGGCUAAAUACAAAGAGAAGACAAACAAGGAUGAAAGAAAUAGUAAUAAAAUAUGUUGUUGUUGAGGUAGAAUAUUAGUCAGAACAUACGAGUAAAGAGGCAAAAUGCAGAGAAAAAUAAGCAAGCUUCCUACAGCGUAGCCUUGGCUUUCAACCGGCUAGGUAAGGCAGCAGUA